AAGCCGUAUACAGUUGAAGUCAAAGAACCGCUCCAGCCCAUUUCUCCACGCCCAAGCGCAGAGAGAGAGAGAGAGAGAGAGAGAGAGAGCUGAGCAAUGGCGAAUCAAGGAGCGAAGAAAAGGAAGGAGGAGAACAAGAAGCACAUGGCCAAUCUCCUCCGCCUUAUCAUCGCCUGCAACGUACUUGAGCAUAUGCAACACACCCAAAAAUUCAUAGGUGUGCCACACUAGGCGUGUAACCGCUCCAUGCCUCUUGAGGUAUCUUGUUCUUCACUAUCUUUGUGUGGCAUCGGUUGAAAAAAUAAGCUGAGCAAGCCACGACUUUUGUCCAGAACUUCUUUGGCAAUCCCUUUUCUUUGAGCAUGGUUCUUGUCAUGUCGAAGAUGGUCCGGUUCUUUCUUUUGGUAAUGCCAUUUUGCUGUGGUGUGUAGGCAGUAGUAAACUGUCUUUUUAUACCUUGCUCCUUGUAAUAUUCUUGAAACAGAUUUGAGGUGUACUUACCACCUCGGUUAGAUCGAAGAAUUUUUAGCUUGUGGCUGC